rnacentral:tRNA from 1 species
CGGCCCCGGUGGGAUUCGAACCCACGACCUACGGCUUAGGAGGCCGCCGCUCUAUCCUGGCUGAGCUACGGGGCC